rnacentral:rRNA from 1 species
GUGUCAGCCGCCGCGGUAAAACGUGAGGGGCGAACGUUGUCCGGAAUCACUGGGCGUAAAGGGUACGCAGGCGGUGGAGAAAGUCGGGUGUGAAAGCUUCGGGCUCAACCCGAGGAGGACGCUCGAUACUUCUCCACUUGAGGAAGGGAGAGGGAAGUGGAAUUCCCGGUGUAGCGGUGAAAUGCGCAGAUAUCGGGAGGAACACCAGUGGCGAAGGCGGCUUCCUAUCCCUUUCCUGACGCUCAGGUACGAAAGCUAGGGGAGCGAACCGGAUUAGAUACCCGGGUAGUCCUAGCCGUAAACGAUGGGUGCUAGGUGUUGGGGGGUUACUCCCUCAAUGCCGAAGCUAACGCAUUAAGCACCCCGCCUGGGGAGUACGGCCGCAAGGUUAAAACUCAAAUGAAUUGGCGG